GCCCGGGUGGCUCAGUCGUUGAGCAUCCGACUUUGGCUCGGGUCAUGAUCUCACGGUUCGUGGGUUCGAGCCCCGCGUCGGGCU
rnacentral:tRNA from 1 species